rnacentral:rRNA from 1 species
GUUUGAUCAUGGCUCAGAUUGAACGCUGGCGGCAUGCCUUACACAUGCAAGUCGAACGGCAGCACGGGAGCAAUCCUGGUGGCGAGUGGCGAACGGGUGAGUAAUAUAUCGGAACGUGCCCAGUCGUGGGGGAUAACGUAGCGAAAGCUACGCUAAUACCGCAUACGAUCUACGGAUGAAAGCGGGGGACUCGCAAGAGCCUCGCGCGAUUGGAGCGGCCGAUAUCAGAUUAGGUUGUUGGUGAGGUAAAAGCUCACCAAGCCUGCGAUCUGUAGCUGGUCUGAGAGGACGACCAGCCACACUGGAACUGAGACACGGUCCAGACUCCUACGGGAGGCAGCAGUGGGGAAUUUUGGACAAUGGACGCAAGUCUGAUCCAGCAAUGCCGCGUGCAGGACGAAGGCCUUCGGGUUGUAAACUGCUUUUGUACGGAACGAAACGGUCUUCUUUAAUACAGAGGGCUAAUGACGGUACCGUAAGAAUAAGCACCGGCUAACUACGUGCCAGCAGCCGCGGUAAUACGUAGGGUGCGAGCGUUAAUCGGAAUUACUGGGCGUAAAGCGUGCGCAGGCGGUUAUAUAAGUCAGAUGUGAAAUCCCCGGGCUCAACCUGGGACCUGCAUUUGAGACUGUAUAGCUAGAGUACGGG